UGCUCUCCGCGCCAAAUCGGUUUCUGCUUUCCAUGUUCGCAUGCCGCGCCGCGACGAAAUUUGGCUGACCACUUUCAUCUCAUUCGAACAAGAAGAAAGCGUCUCGUCGGGAGCAAAGUUAUAAGAAAGAAAGAAAUGAUAAGAUAUAAGAAAUUAGGAUAUGGACACGAGUUAAAGGUACCCAAGUUUACCAUGGGACUUCAGUCAUAGGGGACACUGCCCGUUUUCUAGAACUGGGAAUAAGUGUCUAAUACAGCCUCUGCUCCAACAGGGAAUGCAACGGGUAGGUGUACGACGCAGGAUACACUAUUCUUUAUACUCAAUAGUUUUCUGUUUAUCAUGUACGUGUUUCAGCAUUUGCCAACAUUAUUCAUUCAUCCUUAUAAAAAAAAUUGCCAUUA